AGCAGCCGCGGUAAUACGGAGGGUGCGAGCGUUAAUCGGAAUGACUGGGCGUAAAGGGCAUGUAGGUGGGUCAUUAAGUUAGGUGUGAAAUCCCCGGGCUCAACCUGGGAACAGCACUUAAAACUGGUGGUCUAGAGUAUUGUAGAGGAAGGUAGAAUUCCAUGUGUAGCGGUGAAAUGCGUAGAGAUGUGGAGGAAUACCGGUGGCGAAGGCGGCCUUCUGGACAAAUACUGACGCUGAGAUGCGAAAGCGUGGGGAGCAAACAGGAUUAGAUACCCUGGUAGUCCACGCUGUAAACGAUGUCGAUUUGGAGUUUGGUGGCAUGACUACUGGGCUCCGAAGCUAACGCGUUAAAUCGACCGCCUGGGGAGUACGGCCGCAAGGUUAAAACUCAAAUGAAUUGACGGGGGCCCGCACAAGCGGUGGAGCAUGUGGUUUAAUUCGAUGCAACGCGAAGAACCUUACCUGGUCUUGACAUCCACAGAAUUUUGUAGAGAUACGAAAGUGCCUUAGGGAGCUGUGAGACAGGUGCUGCAUGGCUGUCGUCAGCUCGUGUUGUGAAAUGUUGGGUUAAGUCCCGCAACGAGCGCAACCCUUAUCCUUUGUUGCCAUCGGUUAGGCCGGGAACUCAAAGGAGACUGCCGUUGAUAAAGCGGAGGAAGGUGGGGACGACGUCAAGUCAUCAUGGCCCUUACGACCAGGGCUACACACGUGCUACAAUGGCGCAUACAAAGAGAAGCAAACCAGCGAUGGCAAGCGGACCUCAUAAAGUGCGUCUAAGUUCGGAUUGGAGUCUGCAACUCGACUCCAUGAAGUCGGAAUCGCUAGUAAUCGUGAAUCAGAAUGUCACGGUGAAUACGUUCCCGGGCCUUG
rnacentral:rRNA from 1 species